rnacentral:rRNA from 1 species
GAUGAACGCUGGCGGCGUGCCUAAUACAUGCAAGUCGAGCGAACAGAUAAGGAGCUUGCUCCCUUGACGUUAGCGGCGGACGGGUGAGUAACACGUGGGUAACCUACCUAUAAGACUGGAAUAACUCCGGGAAACCGGGGCUAAUGCCGGAUAACAUUUAGAACCGCAUGGUUCUAAAGUGAAAGAUGGUUUUGCUAUCACUUAUAGAUGGACCCGCGCCGUAUUAGCUAGUUGGUAAGGUAACGGCUUACCAAGGCAACGAUACGUAGCCGACCUGAGAGGGUGAUCGGCCACACUGGAACUGAGACACGGUCCAGACUCCUACGGGAGGCAGCAGUAGGGAAUCUUCCGCAAAGGGCGAAAGCCUGACGGAGCAACGCCGCGUGAGUGAUGAAGGUCUUCGGAUCGUGAAACUCUGUUAUUAGGGAAGAACAAAUGUGUAAGUAACUGUGCACGUCUUGACGGUACCUAAUCAGAAAGCCACGGCUAACUACGUG